rnacentral:rRNA from 1 species
AAUUUUUAUGGAGAGUUUGAUCCUGGCUCAGGAUGAACGCUGGCGGCGUGCCUAAUGCAUGCAAGUC